rnacentral:rRNA from 1 species
CCGCCCGUCACACCAUGGGAGUCGUUUGCUCCAGAAGUGGCUGCGCCAACCCCGUCCCCCUCGUGGGAUAGGCGGCAGGUCCCCAAGGAGUGAACGGUAACUGGGGUG